GGUUGUUUAUAAGUGGUGCCACUGACUAUUUAAUUCGAUGGAAGUCACUCAUACAUACAUACAAACAUGCAUUUCAUUGAACGGUGGAGAAACAUAUUUAGACGAGAUAACUUGAGCCUCCAUGAAAGCAUUCCGGAUCAGUAUCACGCUGCUCUCGUCCCAAGCCAGUCUGUUGACCAUCCCUGCUGUACUCUUCACUUCAUGACUGCAUGACUGUUGUGUGUUGGAGGUCAAAAAGUAAGAAUAGUUACCAUAUCUCUCACAACAAAGACGGAAGAUACGAGAUAGGUAAUCAGAGAUUAGAUGACGAGAUACCCAAUCAUUGACAGCCUCAGUCAUAUUACAUCAUCAUCCCGCUUCAGCUGUGGUUGAAGUCGAUCGCAUCACAGACCAAAACCAACACGAAACAAGGCCCUCGGCUGCGCAAAGAGGACUGCAGAGACGCGGGAAAUUCAAGGUCAAUAGAAAGGAACUUCUUGAAACACACACAGCAAUGUCAGAUUGUGAGGAUUGCUGUUGCUUUUGUGACGCGCCUGGGGAUAACAGCGAGUGUUGCGGCGAUGAGGAUAUGGACUGUGAUUGCUGUGGCUUUUGCGUGGACGUCGCCGAAGAAUCGGAAGGGAAAAGAAAACGGAAGAAUAAAAAGAAGAAAAAAGAGUUCGAUGAAGUCGUGACGUCACAACCGACGUCUUCGCAAAAUACAUGAAAGAAAAUGAAGAAUGAAAGAUAUGCAUGUUGAUCUAUGUUUUCAUUCAUUUAUGCAUAGGUUUACGUGUAGAUAUACAUAUGAAUGUAUGGAAUAUUACGUAGAUUUUAUUUGUGUUGGACGAGCUAGCCAAAAUCAGAUGUUUAGGUUAAGAUAAUGUAACUUAGCCCAAAGGAUAUAGUUAGAUAUAAAAAUGUUGCAUAUUAGCAUCCAUAAUGUACACUUUAAUUCCUUACAUUUACAGCUGAUAUUCAACCAAUCAAAAUUAAAACACUAUGAUACACAAUGCAACAGAGAGAAUUCACCCAAAGUUAAGGAAUUGACCAAAAUUCGUGUCAUGCAAAAAUUUCUUUUAUGUAGUAUUAUAGUUUUGAAAAACAGCAAAUAUACUAUUUACAAAUAUACUAUGCAUGCAUAUAUAUAUUUAUAAGGAUU
rnacentral:misc_RNA from 1 species